GUGUGGGGCUGUGGGUGUGUGGAGGGAUGGGAGUGGGAGUGGGUGUGAGUGGGAGUGGGAGUGGGUGAGUGUGUAAGUGGGAGUGGGUGUGAGUGGGUGUGAGUGGGAGUGGGUGUGAGUGGGAGUGGGGUUGGGAGUGGGUGAGUGUGGGAGUGGGUGUGAGUGGGAGUGGGUGUGAGGCUGUGAGUGGGAGUGGGUGAUUGAGUGUGGGUGUGGGGCUGUGUGUGGGUGGAGGGCUGGGAGUGGGUGUGAGUGAGUGUGUAAGUGGGUGAGUGGGAGUGUGUAAGUGAGUGUGUGUGGGUGUGUGGGGGUGGAGGGCUGGGAGUGGGUGUGGGUGUGAGUGGGAGUGUGUAAUUGAGUGUGGGUGUGGGGCUGUGUGUGGGUGGAGGGCUGGGAGUGGGUGAGUGUGUAAGUGGGAGUGUGUAAGUGGCAGUGGGUGAGUGUGUAUGGGGCUGUGUGUGUAUGGAGGGGUGGGAGUGAAAGUGGGUGGGAGUGGGGGAGUGUGUAAGUGGGAGUGUGGGAGUGAGUGUGUGUGG
ensembl:lncRNA